AGGGAGUUUGAUCAUGGCUCAGAUUGAACGCUGGCGGCAGGCUUAACACAUGCAAGUCGAGCGGAAACGAUGAUAGCUUGCUAUCAGGCGUCGAGCGGCGGACGGGUGAGUAAUGCUUAGGAAUCUGCCAAGUAGUGGGGGAUAGCCCAGAGAAAUUUGGAUUAAUACCGCAUACGCCCUACGGGGGAAAGCAGGGGAUCUUCGGACCUUGCGCUAUUUGAUGAGCCUGAGUGAGAUUAGCUAGUUGGUGGGGUAAAGGCCUACCAAGGCGACGAUCUCUAGCUGGUCUGAGAGGAUGAUCAGCCACACUGGGACUGAGACACGGCCCAGACUCCUACGGGAGGCAGCAGUGGGGAAUAUUGCACAAUGGGCGAAAGCCUGAUGCAGCCAUGCCGCGUGUGUGAAGAAGGCCUUCGGGUUGUAAAGCACUUUCAGCGAGGAGGAAAGGUCAGUAGUUAAUACCUGCUGGCUGUGACGUUACUCGCAGAAGAAGCACCGGCUAAUUUAGUGCCAGCAGCCGCGGUAAUACUAAAGGUGCGAGCGUUAAUCGGAAUUACUGGGCGUAAAGCGCGCGUAGGUGGUUUGUCAAGUUGGAUGUGAAAGCCCAGGGCUCAACCUUGGAACUGCAU
rnacentral:rRNA from 1 species